UACGAGGGGGGCGAGCGUUGUUCGGAAUUAUUGGGCGUAAAGGGUGCGUAGGCGGUUUGGUAAGUCUGAUGUGAAAUCUAUGGGCUCAACUCAUAGUCUGCAUCGGAAACUGCCGGGCUUGAGUAUGGGAGAGGUGAGUGGAAUUCCUGGUGUAGCGGUGAAAUGCGUAGAUAUCAGGAGGAACACCUGUGGUGUAGACAGCUUACUGGGACCAUUUCUGACGCUGAGACACGAAAGCGUGGGUAGCAAACAGG
rnacentral:rRNA from 1 species